AGUGGGGAAUCUUGCACAAUGGAGGAAACUCUGAUGCAGCGAUGCCGCGUGAGUGAAGAAGGCCCUUGGGUUGUAAAGCUCUUUCGUCGGGGAAGAAAAUGACUGUACCCGAAUAAGAAGGUCCGGCUAACUUCGUGCCAGCAGCCGCGGUAAUACGAAGGGACCUAGCGUAGUUCGGAAUUACUGGGCUUAAAGAGUUCGUAGGUGGUUGAAAAAGUUAGUGGUGAAAUCCCAGAGCUUAACUCUGGAACUGCCAUUAAAACUUUUCAGCUAGAGUAUGAUAGAGGAAAGCAGAAUUUCUAGUGUAGAGGUGAAAUUCGUAGAUAUUAGAAAGAAUACCAAUUGCGAAGGCAGCUUUCUGGAUCAUUACUGACACUGAGGAACGAAAGCAUGGGUAGCGAAGAGGAUUAGAUACCCUCGUAGUCCAUGCCGUAAACGAUGUGUGUUAGACGUUGGAAAUUUAUUUUCAGUGUCGCAGCGAAAGCGAUAAACACACCGCCUGGGGAGUACGACCGCAAGGUUA
rnacentral:rRNA from 1 species